GUGGGGAAUCUUCCGCAAUGGACGAAAGUCUGACGGAGCAACGCCGCGUGAGUGAUGAAGGUCUUCGGAUUGUAAAGCUCUGUUAAUCGGGACGAAAGAGCCUAGUGUGAAUAAUGCUAGGAAGUGACGGUACCGGAAUAGAAAGCCACGGCUAACUACGUGCCAGCAGCCGCGGUAAUACGUAGGUGGCAAGCGUUGUCCGGAAUUAUUGGGCGUAAAGUGCGCGCAGGCGGAUCUGCCAGUCUGUCUUAAAAGUUCGGGGCUUAACCCCGUGAUGGGAUGGAAACUACAGAUCUAGAGUAUCGGAGGGAAAGUGGAAUUCCUAGUGUAGCGGUGAAAUGCGUAGAUAUUAGGAAGAACACCAGUGGCGAAGGCGACUUUCUGGACGAAAACUGACGCUGAGGCGCGAAAGCCAGGGGAGCGAACGGGAUUAGAUACCCGUGUAGUCC
rnacentral:rRNA from 1 species